GACGUAGGGUGCAAGCGUUAAUCGGAAUUACUGGGCGUAAAGCGUGCGCAGGCGGUUGUGCAAGACAGAUGUGAAAUCCCCGGGCUCAACCUGGGAACUGCAUUUGUGACUGCACAGCUUGAGUGCGGCAGAGGGGGAUGGAAUUCCGCGUGUAGCAGUGAAAUGCGUAGAUAUGCGGAGGAACACCGAUGGCGAAGGCAAUCCCCUGGGCCUGCACUGACGCUCAUGCACGAAAGCGUGGGGAGCAAACAGG
rnacentral:rRNA from 1 species